rnacentral:rRNA from 1 species
AUUGAACGCUGGCGGCAGGCCUGACACAUGCAAGUCGAGCGGAUGAAGGGAGCUUGCUCCUGGAUUCAGCGUCGGACGGGUGAGUAAUGCCUAGGAAUCUGCCUGGUAGUGGGGGAUAACGUCCGGAAACGGGCGCUAAUACCGCAUACGUCCUGAGGGAGAAAGUGGGGGAUCUUCGGACCUCACGCUAUCAGAUGAGCCUAGGGCGGAUUAGCUAGUUGGUGGGGUAAAGGCCUACCAAGGCGACGAUCCGUAACUGGUCUGAGAGGAUGAUCAGUCACACUGGAACUGAGACACGGUCCAGACUACUACGGGAGGCAGCAGUGGGGAAUAUUGGACAAUGGGCGAAAGCAUGAUCCAGCCAUGCCGCGUGUGUGAAGAAGGUCUUCGGAUUGUAAAGCACUUUAAGUUGGGAGGAAGGGCAGUAAGUUAAUACCUUGCUGUUUUGACGUUACCAACAGAAUAAGCACCGGCUAACUUCGUG